rnacentral:rRNA from 1 species
GACAGAGGGUGCAAACGUUUGUUCGGAAUUACUGGGCGUAAAGCGCGUGUAGGCGGUUGGGCAAGUCGGAUGUGAAAGCCCAGGGCUCAACCCUGGAAGUGCAUUCGAUACUGCCUAGCUAGAGUCCCGGAGAGGAUGGUGGAACUCUCGGUGUAGAGGUGAAAUUCGUAGAUAUCGAGAAGAACACCGGUGGCGAAGGCGGCCAUCUGGACGGUGACUGACGCUGAGACGCGAAAGCGUGGGGAGCAAACAGG